CAAUAGCAUAUAUUAACGUUGUUGCAGUUGAAAAGCUCGUAGUUGAACUUUUGGUAGGAGCGACCUGGCCUUGGGCGCAUGCCCUUGUUUGCCGUGUGUCGUAUCUGGCCAUCCUUUUCCGUUUCGACGGGAAUCUUUUACUGUGAGUAAACUGGAGUGCUCAAAACAAGACGUUUGUUUGGUACAUUAAAGCAUGGAAUAAUAAGAUAGGACCUGGUUACUAUUUUGUUGGUUUGCAUAGCUAGGUAAUGAUUAACAGGGACAGUUGGGGGUAUUCGUAUUUAAUUGUCAGAGGUGAAAUUCUUGGAUUUAUGAAAGACGAACGACUGCGAAAGCAUUUACCAAGGAUGUUUUCAUUAA
rnacentral:rRNA from 1 species